rnacentral:rRNA from 1 species
AUUGAACGCUGGCGGUAGGCCUAACACAUGCAAGUCGAACGCGAAAGUCCUUCGGGAUGAGUAGAGUGGCGGACGGGUGAGUAACGCGUAGGAAUCUAUCCUGUAGUGGGGGAUAACGUUUCGAAAGGAACGCUAAUACCGCAUACGCCCUACGGGGGAAAGCGGGGGGUCUUCGGACCUCGUGCUAGAGGAGGAGCCUGCGUCGGAUUAGCUAGUUGGUGAGGUAAGGGCUCACCAAGGCGACGAUCCGUAGCUGGUCUGAGAGGAUGAUCAGCCACACCGGAACUGAGACACGGUCCGGACUCCUACGGGAGGCAGCAGUGGGGAAUAUUGCGCAAUGGGCGAAAGCCUGACGCAGCCAUACCGCGUGUGUGAAGAAGGCCUUCGGGUUGUAAAGCACUUUCAGUGGGGAGGAAAAGCUGGCGGCUAAUAUCCGCCGGCCGUGACGCUACCCACAGAAGAAGCACCGGCUAAUUCCGUGCCAGCCGCCGCCGUAAGAU